CCUCCACGUUAGUGCAUUUGGUUCAAUGGGCACGUUUCUUCAGUCUGCAAUGUUCAAAAGUAGGCUACUAUUGUCAAUGUUCGUUGGUGAAGAAGACAAGAAAUAUAGUUUACUUGUCAAAAGUCUUAGCUCUUUUCUAGGUUAAAAAUAUGACCAAAUCCCACAUAAGUUUCACUUCAAUGAAGAUUACAGAACCAGUAUGGAUUUUCGAAAGUUGUUCCUGCAUUCUUCUCUUCUAGUCCUCCAUUUCGCAUUUUCUUCUUCCAAAGACACCAUAACUAUAAACCAAACCAUUCAUGAUGGUGACUUUCUGAUCUCUAGAGAAAAUAAUUUUGCAUUAGGAUUCUUUAGCCCCGGAAGUUCCAGGUUUAGAUAUCUUGGAAUCUGGUACCGUAAAGUCCGAGAGCAAACUGUAGUGUGGGUAGCAAAUAGGGAUGAUCCAAUCAAUGGUUCCUCGGGAGUUCUAUCAAUUGACCAAUAUGGAAAUCUCGUUCUCCAUAGCUACCAUAACCAGAAAGCUCCUGUGUGGACUACAAAUGUCUCAGUAGAGGUUACAGAUUAUUGUGUAGCUCAGCUCUUGGAUACAGGAAAUUUG
rnacentral:misc_RNA from 1 species